GGGCCCGCACAAGCGGUGGAGUAUGUGGUUUAAUUCGAUGCAACGCGAAGAACCUUACCAGGGUUUGACAUCCUGCGAAUCUCUUGGAAACGAGAGAGUGCCUUCGGGAACGCAGUGACAGGUGGUGCAUGGCUGUCGUCAGCUCGUGUCGUGAGAUGUUGGGUUAAGUCCCGCAACGAGCGCAACCCACGUCUUUAGUUGCCAGCACAUAAUGGUGGGGACUCUAGAGAGACUGCCGGUGCAAACCGUGAGGAAGGUGGGGAUGACGUCAAGUCAUCAUGCCCCUUACAUCCUGGGCUACACACGUACUACAAUGCUACGGACAAAGGGCAGCAAGUUCGCGAGGACAAGCAAAUCCCAUAAACCGUGGCUCAGUUCAGAUCGUAGGCUGCAACUCGCCUACGUGAAGGCGGAAUCGCUAGUAAUCG
rnacentral:rRNA from 1 species